AGGCGUGUGUUGAGCGCGCCGGAACCACGCCGUACCAUCCCGAACCGGGCCGUGAAACGGCGCAGCGCCACUGGUACUGGCGGGAUACCCGCUGGGAGAGCAGGUCCAUGCGCCCC
rnacentral:rRNA from 1 species